rnacentral:rRNA from 1 species
UAAUAGCUCACUAGUCGAGUGACACUGCGCCGAAAAUGUACCGGGGCUAAACAUAUUACCGAAGCUGUGGAUUGUCCUUUGGACAAUGGUAGGAGAGCGUUCUAAGGGCGUCGAAGCAUGAUCGCAAGGACAUGUGGAGCGCUUAGAAGUGAGAAUGCCGGUGUGAGUAGCGAAAGACGGGUGAGAAUCCCGUCCACCGAUUGACUAAGGUUUCCAGAGGAAGGCUCGUCCGCUCUGGGUUAGUCGGGUCCUAAGCUGAGGCCGACAGGCGUAGGCGAUGGAUAACAGGUUGAUAUUCCUGUACCACCUAGUAUCGUUUUAAUCGAUGGGGGGACGCAGUAGGAUAGGCGAAGCGUGCUGUUGGAGUGCACGUCCAAGCAGUAAGGCUGAGUGUUAGGCAAAUCCGGCACUCAUAAGGCUGAGCUGUGAUGGGGAGAGGAAAUUGUUUCCUCGAGUCGUUGAUUUCACACUGCCGAGAAAAGCCUCUAGAUAGAUAACAGGUGCCCGUACCGCAAACCGACACAGGUAGUCAAGAUGAGAAUUCUAAGGUGAGCGAGCGAACUCUCGUUAAGGAACUCGGCAAAAUGACCCCGUAACUUCGGGAGAAGGGGUGCUCUUUAGGGUUCACGCCCAGAAGAGCCGCAGUGAAUAGGCCCAAGCGACUGUUUAUCAAAAACACAGGUCUCUGCUAAACCGUAAGGUGAUGUAUAGGGGCUGACGCCUGCCCGGUGCUGGAAGGUUAAGAGGAGUGGUUAGCUUCUGCGAAGCUACGAAUCGAAGCCCCAGUAAACGGCGGCCGUAACUAUAACGGUCCUAAGGUAGCGAAAUUCCUUGUCGGGUAAGUUCCGACCCGCACGAAAGGCGUAACGAUUUGGGCACUGUCUCAACGAGAGACUCGGUGAAAUCAUAGUACCUGUGAAGAUGCAGGUUACCCGCGACAGGACGGAAAGACCCCGUGGAGCUUUACUGUAGCCUGAUAUUGAAAUUCGGCACAGCUUGUACAGGAUAGGUAGGAGCCUUUGAAACGUGAGCGCUAGCUUACGUGGAGGCGUUGGUGGGAUACUACCCUAGCUGUGUUGGCUUUCUAACCCGCACCACUUAUCGUGGUGGGAGACAGUGUCAGGCGGGCAGUUUGACUGGGGCGGUCGCCUCCUAAAAGGUAACGGAGGCGCUCAAAGGUUCCCUCAGAAUGGUUGGAAAUCAUUCAUAGAGUGUAAAGGCAUAAGGGAGCUUGACUGCGAGACCUACAAGUCGAGCAGGGUCGAAAGACGGACUUAGUGAUCCGGUGGUUCCGCAUGGAAGGGCCAUCGCUCAACGGAUAAAAGCUACCCCGGGGAUAACAGGCUUAUCUCCCCCAAGAGUUCACAUCGACGGGGAGGUUUGGCACCUCGAUGUCGGCUCAUCGCAUCCUGGGGCUGUAGUCGGUCCCAAGGGUUGGGCUGUUCGCCCAUUAAAGCGGUACGCGAGCUGGGUUCAGAACGUCGUGAGACAGUUCGGUCCCUAUCCGUCGUGGGCGUAGGAAAUUUGAGAGGAGCUGUCCUUAGUACGAGAGGACCGGGAUGGACAUACCUCUGGUGUACCAGUUGUCGUGCCAACGGCAUAGCUGGGUAGCUAUGUAUGGACGGGAUAAGUGCUGAAAGCAUCUAAGCAUGAAGCCCCCCUCAAGAUGAGAUUUCCCAACUUCGGUUAUAAGAUCCCUCGAAGAUGACGAGGUUAAUAGGUUCGAGGUGGAAGCGUGGUGACACGUGGAGCUGACGAAUACUAAUCGAUCGAAGACUUAAUCAAUUUUUAAA